UACAGAGGGUGCAAGCGUUGUUCGGAAUUAUUGGGCGUAAAGGGCGUGUAGGCGGUUUGAUAAGUCUUCUGUGAAAUCUACGGGCUUAACCUGUAACGUGCAGAGGAAACUGUCAGGCUUGAGUGUCGGAGAGGAUAGGGGAAUUCCCGGUGUAGAGGUGAAAUUCGUAGAGAUCGGGAGGAACACCAGUGGCGAAGGCGCCUAUCUGGCUGAAAACUGACGCUGAGACUCGAAAGCAUGGGGAGCAAACAGG
rnacentral:rRNA from 1 species